rnacentral:rRNA from 1 species
GAUGAACGCUGGCGGCGUGCCUAAUACAUGCAAGUCGAGCGAACGGACGAGAAGCUUGCUUCUCUGAUGUUAGCGGCGGACGGGUGAGUAACACGUGGAUAACCUACCUAUAAGACUGGGAUAACUUCGGGAAACCGGAGCUAAUACCGGAUAAUAUUUUGAACCGCAUGGUUCAAAAGUGAAAGACGGUCUUGCUGUCACUUAUAGAUGGAUCCGCGCUGCAUUAGCUAGUUGGUAAGGUAACGGCUUACCAAGGCAACGAUGCAUAGCCGACCUGAGAGGGUGAUCGGCCACACUGGAACUGAGACACGGUCCAGACUCCUACGGGAGGCAGCAGUAGGGAAUCUUCCGCAAUGGGCGAAAGCCUGACGGAGCAACGCCGCGUGAGUGAUGAAGGUCUUCGGAUCGUAAAACUCUGUUAUUAGGGAAGAACAUAUGUGUAAGUAACUGUGCACAUCUUGACGGUACCUAAUCAGAAAGCCACGGCUAACUACGUGCCAGCAGCCGCGGUAAUACGUAGGUGGCAAGCGUUAUCCGGAAUUAUUGGGCGUAAAGCGCGCGUAGGCGGUUUUUUAGUCUGAUGUGAAAGCCCACGGCUCAACCGUGGAGGGUCAUUGGAAACUGGAAAACUUGAGUGCAGAAGAGGAAAGUGGAAUUCCAUGUGUAGCGGUGAAAUGCGCAGAGAUAUGGAGGAACACCAGUGGCGAAGGCGACUUUCUGGUCUGUAACUGACGCUGAUGUGCGAAAGCGUGGGGAUCAAACAGGAUUAGAUACCCUGGUAGUCCACGCCGUAAACGAUGAGUGCUAAGUGUUAGGGGGUUUCCGCCCCUUAGUGCUGCAGCUAACGCAUUAAGCACUCCGCCUGGGGAGUACGACCGCAAGGUUGAAACUCAAAGGAAUUGACGGGGACCCGCACAAGCGGUGGAGCAUGUGGUUUAAUUCGAAGCAACGCGAAGAACCUUACCAAAUCUUGACAUCCUUUGACAACUCUAGAGAUAGAGCUUUCCCCUUCGGGGGACAAAGUGACAGGUGGUGCAUGGUUGUCGUCAGCUCGUGUCGUGAGAUGUUGGGUUAAGUCCCGCAACGAGCGCAACCCUUAAGCUUAGUUGCCAUCAUUAAGUUGGGCACUCUAAGUUGACUGCCGGUGACAAACCGGAGGAAGGUGGGGAUGACGUCAAAUCAUCAUGCCCCUUAUGAUUUGGGCUACACACGUGCUACAAUGGACAAUACAAAGGGCAGCGAAACCGCGAGGUCAAGCAAAUCCCAUAAAGUUGUUCUCAGUUCGGAUUGUAGUCUGCAACUCGACUACAUGAAGCUGGAAUCGCUAGUAAUCGUAGAUCAGCAUGCUACGGUGAAUACGUUCCCGGGUCU